CAAAACUCAGUUCAAAGGUUUAUAUCAGACCUAAAACGUCAGGACCCGCCCACCUGCAUGCGGCUGUGGAAGAACAAGCCCAGACACGUUUCUUCACGGAGAACAAGGAAAACACUUUACCGAACUCAUGUAAGUAACAAUUUAUAUUGUUAAGUCAGUAUUUGCCAGGAUUUAAAUGUAUACAUUUUCAAAAGCAUGGUUCAAUGUUAUAUUUAGUUUACUACUUUUCCCGCCGACCGCCAUUUCGAAUGUGCUCUUACCUCCAACAGCUCAUUAACUUCAACCAAACAUUGUUUAUAGCUGUGAAGUUUAUAAAUAGCGUUUUCUUUGCGUGGUAGUUUAAUAUUUUAUUCUUCAGUUUAUAAGCAGCCACAUUAAAGCUGCUUCACUAGCUUGCAUUCAUAGUUGCUAGCAGCUAGCUAGAUACACUUGACAGAGCUAUCUGAAGCCCCCUCAGACCUGCUGUCCAUGCACACUCCUAGGCAAAACGCUACUCUUGUAAGAAUAACACUCAUUGUGUAAGUCUCAAUCUCAACAUUCCACCCCCCCAAAAAAAAAUCUCACCAGUAGUCACCAUUUAAAGGGUAAAUUUUCAAAUUUUUCUUCCGUGGGGGCAUGCCCCUAGACCCCCCUACUGUUGCUAGGUUACCAACUUAGACCACCGUGGCUACAAAAAAAUCUAGAGGAAAUACUGCAAAUGAGUAUAUUAGGGUGUAAAAAAAAACGAUAUAAAGGGCUUUCACCAGGCUUAUAUAUCCAAGAGGUUAGACAUGAACCAUAACUUGUCUUUUUUGUUCUCUCUCUCCAAUGGCAGAUGGGAUGGCCCUGUAAGUUGUGCAGCACUGUUGUACCAACCAAGAGUGACAUUUUAAAGCAUUACAGACUGCAACAUGGGACCUUUGGACACAGCCAUUCCUUGCCUUGCAUUCAUAUUAAUGAAGCGGAAUCAACAUUUAUGUCCCAACUGGACAGGUACACGCCAAAGCUCCUGGAGCUCUUCAGUGCAAAAGAAGGAGUGACUGCAGCGCAUCAAGAACUUGUUGAUGGAACUGAUACAGGACCCAAGUGCCUCUGCAGUGAAGAAGAGAGAUGUGACUGUGAGAUGCCUCAUAGAGUACAUGGGAGAGAGUGGACAGGAGCUAAUCUCUGACUACUGGAACUGCAGAGACCGCUGUUCAUGAGGACCUGGAAAUGAAGAAUAUGAGCAUCUACAUCUGUCGUGAGCCAAAUGCAGUAGGAAUCAUCAUUGAGGGAGUACCAGUCCUUACUCAUCUUGGAAACCUGGUCAAAGCAUGCUGCCUACUUCUGGGGUUGACGUAUGCACUUAAUCUUGAGUAUCCAUCCAAACUUUCCAAAACAUUUGAGGUGUUUCAAAGACUUUUUGUGGGACUUGACACACUGCGCCCAAAACCAACCCCCAAAUUCAUGACUCUCAAAAACAAGCUUCUAGCUUAGGCAGUGAGCCAUGACUGUCAGCUUGCACUUUUGAACAGCUAUUUUCUUGUGUCUGUUCAAAAUCAUUAUACAUUGUUCAUUGAGUGGAAUUCUUCAGAAUGUUGUAACGGUUUGUCCUGUUCAGGUUUUAUACAAAGCUCCAGGUCAUCGUUUCUGGUGUGUAAAUUAAGUUUUUUUAUGUUUUAUACACACUAAAUUGCCCUACUGUGAAGCUCCAGCUGGUCAGAAGGAGGGAUCUGUGAGUUGUUUAAGUUCAAAUGUUUCAAAAUAUACACACUGAAAGACACUACAGUGAAGGUGUUCUGCUUGUGAAUUGUUACAGAAGUACAGAUAAUCUUAAGGUUAAAUUGUUUUAGCAAGAAACUGUACUGUGAAUGUUCUAAGUAAAACUUGAGAUGCUGAGGUCAUGCAUUCUUUUAUGCACUAAAUACUGAUGUUCUUGACUGUUAAUACUGUCCAGCUUAUUGACAGGUUUGGAUAUGGCUUGUGAAAAUGUUUUAAUAUGUAUACGGUUAAAAAAAGAAAACUACUGUGAAGGUGUUCUAUACAGCACUUUAAAAAGUUGAGGUCAUGCAUUCUUGUAUAAUAUGGAUGUUGACUGUUCAUACUGUCCAGCUCAUUGCCACUGUUUUUAUAUGGUAAUGAUUUAAUAAAGGUUGGAAUUUGA